rnacentral:tRNA from 1 species
AUUUAUAUAGUUUACUUAAAACAUUACAUUUUCAAUGUAAAAACAAUAUUUUUUUAUAAAUA